rnacentral:rRNA from 1 species
UGGGGCAUAUUGCACAAUGGGCGCAAGCCUGAUGCAGCGACGCCGCGUGAGGGAUGACGGCCUUCGGGUUGUAAACCUCUUUCAGCAGGGAAGAAGCGAACGUGUCGGUACCUGCAGAAGACGCGCCGGCUAACUACGUGCCCGCAGCCGCGGUAAUACGUAGGGCGCGAGCGUUGUCCGGAAUUCUUGGGCGUAAAGAGCUUGUAGGCGGAUUGUUGCGUCUGCUGUGAAAGACCGGGGCUUCACGCA